UAUCAGCCUCGAGUCUUUUUCCAGGUGGUGUGCAAUCCUGGCUGGAGAACUUGCGCAAGGCUACCUGCCUCCCAGUUGUGAAAGAAAAGGGCUUGGUGCCUCCCCUGCCUGUGGAGUCUGCACACUGGAUUGGCACCCACCUCUGAGUUCUGGCCAGGAGGCUUCUUGCCCCAUUCAAAUUGUUACAAAGUUCAGCUGGAAAUUACCUUCUCCCUGUGGUGUUUUCCCCCUACUCCUCUGGCUGCCCUCCUGAUGGAUCCUUGUGGUGCCAGGCAGGAAUGGCCUGCCUGGGGACCCAGUGAGCUGCCAGGGCCUUUGUGAUGCUUCCUCUACCCCUGUAUUUCUCUUGGCUUUCUAAAUGGACUCAGCUCCAGGUCCCUGAUCAACCAGUCAAGCCGUUCACCACCGCUCGUUUAAUUGAAUGCUCCAGUUCUUUUCAUUUCCGAAGUUAUGGUGAGAAGAACUAAGUGGAAAAUGAGUCUCACUCUUGUCACCCAGGCUAAUCUCAGCUCACCGCAGCCUCCACCUCCCAGGUUCAAGUGAUUCUCCUGCCUCAGCCUCCCGAGUAGCUGGGGUUACAGGUAAUGGAGUUCACAUUACCAUAGACUUUUCUUGAUGUCCAAUCUAAAUAAGAAAGGUGAAAUAAAAUGACAUAUUAUUUUUCUUUUUUUUCCCAAGUGUUUGUUUCUUCUGUGUUACUUUAUUUUUUUUUUUUAACAAUGUGGAAACCAGGCCCAUAUUUAUUUUCAUUCUCUUUAUAACUGAAUGGUGUAAUAAAUCCAUACUGGGCAUACACAUAGUUUGUUUAAGCAAAUGAUGAUCCUUUUACCUUUGUUUAGGAAGAGCUUUGAAAGUGCUGUGAACACACUUGUGAUAUUGUCCUGGUAGUAAAAAUUUAUUAUUCAUAUG
rnacentral:lncRNA from 10 species